UGAAUAACAGAGAUAGCUACCUUCUAAAUAUUAUCUGUGUGUACUUCACACUACUUUUCUAGUCAUACCUCUAGCUAACACUCUUACAUGCAGAUUGUAUGAUCAGACAAUGUCAUGAAAAAUGAAUAUCUUCUUAAUCUAUCUAAUUCAAAGUCUGAUGAUGCUGUAUAUCAGAGCUUCAGUGAUAAAUAUCUUGAUCUGUUUCAGCAUCUACUUUGACUUCUAAAAUACUGAAACAUUGUUCAAAAUUGAGUUCAGAUAAAAUUUGAGCUGAUAUAUAUUCUUUAAUAUCUUCAACUUAAUAAGCUAUAGUGCUGAAGUAAAAACUCUUUUGCUAUUAAAAAAAUAAAGAUAUAAUUAAUAAACAGAAAUCUUAGAAGAAUGAUAUAUGAGUUGAGAAUGAGAGAUAAAUUGAAGAUAAUCUCUGAGUGUAACAGAUGUACUAUCAAUUAACAGACUUAGUAUUAUUCUAAUACAGUUUAUAAAUUGAUUAAGAAAAGAAAAAGAAAACAGAUUGAAAGAAAGAUCAUACAAAGAGAUUUUUAUAAAGAAAUAAGUAAAGUGGAAGAAUAUUAGAGAUUAUACAGAGAAAUCAUUAAAGACUAUAUAUACAGAGUGAAAUUGCAAGG
rnacentral:sRNA from 1 species